rnacentral:lncRNA from 1 species
UAGAUAUGAUAGUUUUGUUGGUGAAGUUCAAAACGUUCUCUGCGGAAUGGGUCCGACUUUCACUCUAUACUCCACCCAAAGUCGCUGUUCGACUUCCAGACCACCGUCAAAAUUCCUCAAUGAGGCGCUCCAGAUGAUACAAAAUCGUAUUUGACAGACCUCCUGGCUAGGCCCCGUGCUGUUGUAGACCGCAAAAACAAAAUAAACUCCCAGGUAGAAAAAAACUAGAUUAAUAAUCUUUCGUGCGAUGUAGGAGAAAAAAACUAACUGA